rnacentral:lncRNA from 1 species
GUUUUCUUAAAACCAUAUUAUGGUAUAAAAACUUGUCAAACAUUCCUAGUUUAGUAUUGUAACACAACAUAUUGCAUUUAAUCAAUAAUUAUAUUUUAAGUUUCUUCUAUUGUUAUCUUGUCAAUUCUUGAUUGGAAAAUUUACCUGUAAUCACCUGUCAAUGGACAUCAUUACUGUCUGCAGUCAUGUGAUCAUGAGUAAAACUCCAAAGUUGAAUAGAGCUCUUUGUUAAUACUUAACUUUCAUUAUCAAAAGUCAAUUAUGGUCAAUAGCACAAAUGUUUCAACAAAAGAAUUGUUGUACACAUGCAUUCUCAAGAGAUGCAGCAGGCUUUGACAAAACUGAAACUUUCGGAGGACUCAAUAAGGGUCAUGAAAUAGGUUGCAAGUUGCAAAAUCAUGCUCCUAUCUCACACUAGCAUUUAAUUACAAAAAACUUGCAUUAUACAUCAAUUGGUCUAUACCAAUAUACCUCAAUUGGUGGAUUAUACGUCAAUUGAGGUAUAAUCCACCAAUUGGUGGUUAUUCCUGACCUGUU